CCUACGGGUGGCUGCAGUGGGGAAUAUUGCACAAUGGGCGCAAGCCUGAUGCAGCCAUGCCGCGUGUGUGAAGAAGGCCUUCGGGUUGUAAAGCACUUUCAGCGGGGAGGAAGGCGUUAAGGUUAAUAACCUUGGCGAUUGACGUUACCCGCAGAAGAAGCACCGGCUAACUCCGUGCCAGCAGCCGCGGUAAUACGGAGGGUGCAAGCGUUAAUCGGAAUUACUGGGCGUAAAGCGCACGCAGGCGGUCUGUCAAGUCGGAUGUGAAAUCCCCGGGCUCAACCUGGGAACUGCGUUCGAAACUGGCAGGCUAGAGUCUUGUAGAGGGGGGUAGAAUUCCAGGUGUAGCGGUGAAAUGCGUAGAGAUCUGGAGGAAUACCGGUGGCGAAGGCGGCCCCCUGGACAAAGACUGACGCUCAGGUGCGAAAGCGUGGGGAGCAAACAGGAUUAGAUACCCGAGUAGUC
rnacentral:rRNA from 1 species